rnacentral:lncRNA from 1 species
CCUAUGCCUAUUAAAAUUUGAAAGGGUAAGGAAAACGACAAGCGCUCAUGUCUUAUAAGUUGUUCGUAUAUGACUCAUGCUCUGAUAAAUUGAAGAUGAUGCUCCAACGUCAUUUUUCUUGACUUAUAUAUAGCUGUAAUAGCAAUAAUUGGAUUUCCUCCCAAUAACCAGUCACAUAACUACGAGAAAAAUGAAUAUGUUUGCUGUAGUUCUCUCCUACUAACACAUUUUAAUUUAUUUGCACAAUAUUGAAUAAAUUAAUGUAUUGCCGUCGAGGACGAAUUUUUUUCUGCUACUUGAAUAAUUUAUCUAGCGGGACGGCAAAAGUAAGGUGGCCUCUAUUCAUCCUAUCGCAAUCUAAAUGGCUGAAAAUGGUGGAAUUCCAACAAUAGAUCUCUCCCCAUUCUUUACAGACGGUGAUGAAACUGGCAAGGUAA